UAUUAAAAAAAAAAAGUAUCCGAGCUUGUAUGUACAGGGGAGCAUGUGAAGUGAAUAUGCUCUAUCUUAAUUGACAAAUGCCAAUCCAGGGCUUAGGGGGAGUGCAUCUGAUCACAAACAUUACCUUGUUGGCUUAUUGUAAAGACGAAGUGGACUCCCUUUCACUCAUCACAAAUGCUUGAAUGAGACUCUGAGCUGCAUGGGUCUGUUCAGGUGUCCCAGAUAUUAUAAUCA
rnacentral:misc_RNA from 1 species